CCUAAUUAUAUUUCUCUUUAUAAUCUGUGCUCUCCAGUUAAGUAAUGUAAUUGAUCGCUCCUGAAAAAUAUCAUUAAUUCCAAAAUGGUCCAGAAGUGUUUUGUCAUGCAAUUUCUUCUCCUCCUCCCUCCUCCCCCCUGUUAGGGAUUAUUGAGAUGACUCAUAUAUCAGAAACGAGCCAGUAUGCCAGACAGCGGACUGUAGAGUGAGAGCCAGAGAGAAAGAGAGCGAGAGAAAGAGAGAAAGAAAAAGAGAGCAUGCUUUAGGACAGACAAGAAAUGAACAGGAAAGAAAAAAUUUUAAAGCUUCCAGGGUCUGCAGAGGUAUAGCAACUGUUGCAACUUCUGUUCCUCUCUGAUCUAAGGCUGCAUGUAGAAGUCUGUUUGGGGAUUAACCAGAGAAGAGAGCCGUUCCGUAUGAGAAACAGUGUGGCUGACGGAAAGAGCACUGGAGUGGGGGGACCUGGGUUCUAAUCCUGACUCCGUCACUUGCAUGCUGUGUAACCUGGGGGCUGACUUGAUUUCUUCUUUUGUGCUGACCUGACAUUAUUCUCAGAGAAGAAAGAAUGAUGCAUUAACACAUCCCUUAUCCAUCUCAAGGAAGAGUGAACGGGAGAGAAGAUGGACCCAAAAACGGGCAUCUUGUCCCUUAACUAUCAUGGCAGUAGAGCCGAGAGCUCCCUCGGUCGUUCUGGAAGUUUCUGUAUUCAUUUUUCCCAGGAAGCAGAUAAUGUGACACACCGCCACACACCCCCCCCCCCCCGCCACACACACACAAACCCCCACAACAGUGGCAGAAGAGAUGGGAAUGAUUCUUGUUCAG